rnacentral:rRNA from 1 species
AGGGCGCACGGUGGAUGCCUUGGCACUAGGAGCCGAUGAAGGACGGGACUAACACCGAUAUGCUUCGGGGAGCUGUAAGUAAGCUUUGAUCCGGAGAUUUCCGAAUGGGGAAACCCACUGUUCGUAAUGGAACAGUAUCUUUACCUGAAUACAUAGGGUACUGAAGGCAGACCCGGGGAACUGAAACAUCUAAGUACCCGGAGGAAGAGAAAGCAAACGCGAUUUCCUGAGUAGCGGCGAGCGAAACGGAAUUAGCCCAAACCAAGAGGCUUGCCUCUUGGGGUUGUAGGACACUCAACAUGGAGUUACAAAGGAACGGGGUAAAUGAAGCGACCUGGAAAGGUCCGUCGAAGAAGGUAAAAACCCUGUAGUUGAAACUUCGUUCCCUCCUGAGUGGAUCCUGAGUACGGCGGGACACGAGAAAUCCCGUCGGAAGCAGGGAGGACCAUCUCCCAAGGCUAAAUACUCCCUAGUGACCGAUAGUGAACCAGUACCGUGAGGGAAAGGUGAAAAGCACCCCGGAAGGGGAGUGAAAUAGAUCCUGAAACCGUGUGCCUACAAGUAGUCAAAGCCCGUUAAUGGGUAAUGGCGUGCCUUUUGUAGAAUGAACCGGCGAGUUACGAUUUCAUGCGAGGUUAAGUUGAUGAGACGGAGCCGCAGCGAAAGCGAGUCUGAAUAGGGCGAAUGAGUAUGAGGUCGUAGACCCGAAACCAGGUGAUCUACCCAUGUCCAGGGUGAAGUUCAGGUAACACUGAAUGGAGGCCCGAACCCACGCACGUUGAAAAGUGCGGGGAUGAGGUGUGGGUAGCGGAGAAAUUCCAAUCGAACCUGGAGAUAGCUGGUUCUCUCCGAAAUAGCUUUAGGGCUAGCCUCAAGAUGAGAGUAUUGGAGGUAGAGCACUGAUUGGACUAGGGGCCCCCAACGGGUUACCGAAUUCAGUCAAACUCCGAAUGCCAAAUACUUAUUCUUGGGAGUCAGACUGCGAGUGAUAAGAUCCGUAGUCGAAAGGGAAACAGCCCAGACCACCAGCUAAGGUCCCAAAGUAUACGUUAAGUGGAAAAGGAUGUGGAGUUGCUUAGACAACCAGGAUGUUGGCUUAGAAGCAGCCACCAUUUAAAGAGUGCGUAAUAGCUCACUGGUCGAGUGACUCCGCGCCGAAAAUGUACCGGGGCUAAACGUAUCACCGAAGCUGUGGAUUGACACCGUAUGGUGUCGAUGGUAGGAGAGCGUUCUAAGGGCGUUGAAGUCAGACCGGAAGGACUGGUGGAGCGCUUAGAAGUGAGAAUGCCGGUAUGAGUAGCGAAAGAAGGGUGAGAAUCCCUUCCACCGAAUGCCUAAGGUUUCCUGAGGAAGGCUCGUCCGCUCAGGGUUAGUCGGGACCUAAGCCGAGGCCGAAAGGCGUAGGCGAUGGACAACAGGUUGAUAUUCCUGUACCACCUAUACAUCGUUUGAACGAUGGGGGGACGCAGAAGGAUAGGGUAAGCGCGCUGUUGGAUAUGCGCGUCCAAGCAGUUAGGCCGGAAACGAGGCAAAUCCCGUUUCCAUUAAGGCGGAGCUGUGAUGGCGAGGGAAAUAUAGUACCGAAGUUCCUGAUUCCACGCUGCCAAGAAAAGCCUCUAGUGAGAUGUAAGGUGCCCGUACCGCAAACCGACACAGGUAGGCGAGGAGAGAAUCCUAAGGUGUGCGAGAGAACUCUCGUUAAGGAACUCGGCAAAAUGACCCCGUAACUUCGGGAGAAGGGGUGCUUUUUAGGGUGAAUAGCCCAGAAAAGCCGCAGUGAAUAGGCCCAGGCGA